CUUGAGACAAAGGAUAAACAAAGACAUUGAGUAUGUUUACAUGCACAUAAUAAGAGGACAAUUAUCCUAUUAUGAUAUUAUAAAAAUCAGCUUAUUACAUUAACAUGUUUCAAGCGUUUUAAUUUACUUUUAUUUGUGAAGUUUAUCUAUCUCAGGUGGAGACAUACGCACAUACGAAACGGCAAAAAAGACUUUAAAAUCUGGUUUAAGAGCAAAAAAACUACCUGUGCCAAUCAGUUUUUGCCAUUUAUGGGCUUUACCCUAUAAAAGAAAACCAUUUUAUGCAUUUAAAUGACCUUACACGUUAUCAGUUUAUUAAGCGUUUAGACUAUGUAGACACACUCACUGUGCACUAAAAUUAAAAAAAAUUGGUUAACACGACCACUCGUGGUGGCUUCACUCAGAGGUUGGAGAAGACAACCGGUGGACUAAACAUCAAGCCUCUGCACGAUUCAGGUAAGUGGAAUAAAAUACAUUGUAAAUAAACAUUAUUAAAACAGAUUGUGAAGUCAUUCAUUCAAAACUUGCUAUGACCUAAGCCUAAAUGACUUAAUUUCUUUUUAGAAUUAAGACAACCUUAGCAGGAGAGCCCCAGCAGUAACUUUCUCUCAAGCAGAUGAGCAAUAAGUUGCUUUGUAUGAACACCACCCUAACAAUCAAGUAACCUGUUAACAGUAGACCAAAGGUAUGAUGAUCAAUUAUAAAUGCAAUAUGGUUGAAAGGUCAGUAAACAAACAACAAAAAGGUAAUUUCUUAAUAGAAUGUCUAUACAUUUUUUGCUUUUGUUACAUAUUUCAUACAUCAAAAUCAUUAAACGUUAAUAAUUAUGUAUUCCAACUUGUUGCAGCUUGACAAAAAUGUAGCUUGAAGGAGAAGGGACAGCUGAGUAACAAAGUCCUGGUAUGCAGACGACGAUACUAUUACACUGACAAGAGUGUAAUGAUGAUGGAGACACAAGCCAGAGAAAGGGGGGACCAAACACCAGGCCAGAAUUCUGCAUGAGUCAGAUCCAGUGGGUGCAGAUUAUCAUACAGAUGGUUCAAGUGUGGAUCCACCUAAUAUUCAAGAUUUUCUGUCCUGGGACACUCGGCUAACCAUCAAGAAAGAACACAGUAGGUUAACAAGAAUCUGACCUCACGUUUGAUCAUUACAAGAUUAUGGCAGUACAUUACACAUUUAAGGACUGUUAUUCCUCUGGCUGAUUUAAAAAUAACCAAAAGUUCUUAAAAAGAAGCAGCCCUAGUUAUUUUGGCUUGUUAUAAACUAUAUAGACAUAAGUAUUGCGACACCUCCUUCUAAUAAACAGGUUUAAAUACUUUACAUAUUUCCAUGAGCACAAAUCUUAAUGCUACAGCAUAUGAUAUUCUAGAAAAACCGUUUGAUGCUAAAUUUAUAGCAAGAGUUUUGGGAAAUCGGGAAAAGAUGUUCUUUGCCCGAGGAAACAUUUGAUUAAUUUAAAGAUAUUGUGUUUCUUUGUAUGUUAUAGAAAAACGUUGCUUUUUGCAUACACUCGUGUAAAUAUGCAUCUUAUGAAUGUUUUCCUUUGUCUAAUUUUAAUAAAUUUUACGCAAUCAA